GACGAACGCUGGCGGCGUGCUUAACACAUGCAAGUCGAACGGAAAGGCCCUGCUUUUGUGGGGUGCUCGAGUGGCGAACGGGUGAGUAACACGUGAGUAACCUGCCCUUGACUUUGGGAUAACUUCAGGAAACUGGGGCUAAUACCGUAUAGGAGCUCCUGCUGCAUGGUGGGGGUUGGAAAGUUUCGGCGGUUGGGGAUGGACUCGCGGCUUAUCAGCUUGUUGGUGGGGUAGUGGCUUACCAAGGCUUUGACGGGUAGCCGGCCUGAGUGGGUGACCGGCCACAUUGGGACUGAGAUACGGCCCAGAUGCCUACGGGAGGCAGCAGUGGGGAAUAUUGCACAAUGGGCGGAAGCCUGAUGCAGCAACGCCGCGUGCGGGAUGACGGCCUUCGGGUUGUAAACCGCUUUCGCCUGUGACGAAGCGUGAGUGACGGUAAUGGGUAAAGAAGCAACGGCUAACUACGUG
rnacentral:rRNA from 1 species